rfam:Dracunculus medinensis genome assembly, scaffold: DME_contig0000193
GGCGAGAUGGCCGAGCGGUCCAAGGCGCUGGUUUUAGGCACCAGUCUCUUCGGAGGCGUGGGUUCGAAUCCCACUCUCGUCA